UCUCCGAAGAUAAUGACGGUAGGAGAGGAAUAAGGGGCGGCAAACUUCGUGCCAGCAGCCGCGGUAAUACGAAGGCCCCAAGCGUUAUCCGGAAUUACUGGGCGUAAAGCGUCUGUAGGUGGUUUGGAAAGUUUCAUGUGAAACUUCGGGGCUCAACCCCGAAUUGCGUGGAAAACUAUCGAACUUGAGUGCGGGAGAGGCAAGCAGAACUGUAUGAGUAGGGGUGCAAUCCGUUGAUACAUA
rnacentral:rRNA from 1 species